AUUAAAUAUACAUUUCUUUAUCUACAGGUAAAGGCACUCAGGGAAUGUCUGCUGCAUCACAGGCCAUUGCUGAUUCUUUAGAUGCCAGUAAGCCUGCCAGCACUGAGCCCACUUCACCCAAAGCCUCCAACUCCAGCACGGCUUCCCCCCAGUCUACACCCACACCACUCCCUCAGGGACCCAGGCAACAGAAACCUGUUCAAGCCAACAAGAAGAAGAAAAAGACUGGCAAGGGAGGAAAGUGGUAGAAACAUGACCUACAAUAGCAAUGGCGACAACAAAAUGUGAAACAUCUUAGUUCUUACACAGAUUUAGUUAUUCACCCUCUUUGACCACUGCAUUUACUGAUCAAAUUAAUUUCACAGUUCAUUAUUUCCAAAUGGGAUUAAUGUAUACAUUUUUUAUUAAUUAAAAAAAUAAAUUGAAGAGAGAUAGUACAGUAUAAUUGUGAUAUAUUAGAUGUAGACUUAAAAAAAAGUUAGUUAAACAAUAAUAUAGUUUCUUAAGUCUGCAUGAUACACUCAUUAUAUUUCAUAUGUUAUACAUGGUACAAUUUAUAUAACCAAAAACUUAUAUUCUUGUGAUGUUCAAACAAUGCAAACUUCCCAACUUCAGUUUUUCAAACAACAAAUUAAGUGUUCAAAGAAUCUUGUAGGUACGUGAAUAUCUAUCAUCACUCCCUUGAAUUCAUUAAAUUGGAUUGCUUAGGUAUCUGAAAUGUUUUAUGAGUAGAAUACAAAGUUUCAGGUAACUUUUCAUCACAUUUUAUCCACUAAUGAACCACAUUACCUUUUGAUUCCAAGCUAGAUCUCUUCAUUCUCUUGAACUUUUAAAAAAAACAACACUUUCUUUUUUUUUUAUCAGACAAAAAUGUUUCUCUCUAUACAUUAAAAGGGUUUCUGAUCAGAUGCUUGAACAAUGGCAGUCCAUCCUUGUCAUAUCUAAGUUUAAAUUUGUUUAGGGAGUGUUUGUGGCAUUGAUUUGAAACUGAAAUAAUGUCAAGUGUUACAGUUCCUAAAUUGCACUGGUGCUCUAAGUAUCUCUUUUUCUGUUUAUUUCCUGUCAGAACAGAUUAAGCCAUUUUCUUUCUUUUUGUUUUCAUUUGUCCAAGGCAGAAUGUUGUUAGCUUGGGCAGAUAUCUAGGUACUAGGGCUCUCAUUUAUUUACUCUAGUUACAACUUUACAACCUUUUGUUUUGGAAAACCAGCUAUAAAGUUGGCACUUAGUCUCAUCACUAUAUUAAACAUGUUUAAACCUAUUCUGAGCUGUGAACAUUUAGUGAUAUAUUGAAAUAAUUGUCUAGAAUGUUUCUGACUUACAACAUUUAUUAUAGAUUUCAUUACAACUGUAUAUUUGGGGUAAGGCUGGUUAUUGUUCAAAUUUAUGUCUAUUCAAUGGCUCAUGUUAAAGAGUUUUGUGGCUUUUGAGUUUAUUUCAGAAAGAUUAUUGUGUUGUGUUCAUGUGAAGAUGUGAAAUAUUUGAUAAAAGUUUUUGAUUUUUUAAAAUCAAUCUACCUAUUAGAAUUUUCAGUUGAGAAGAUUGUCUGUUGGAAUGAUAAUAGAAGAGGAAGUCAUAAUUAAAGGAAAACACAAUCAA
rnacentral:sRNA from 1 species